rnacentral:rRNA from 1 species
GCCACCCUGAACAAGCCCAAUCCUGUCUGAUCUCAGAAGCUAAGCAGGGUUGGGCCUGGCUAGUACUUGGAUUGGAGACCACCUAGGAAGACCAGGUGCUAUAGGCA